GACGAACGCUGGCGGCGUGCCUAAUACAUGCAAGUCGAACGCUGAAGGAGGAGCUUGCUCUUCUGGAUGAGUUGCGAACGGGUGAGUAACGCGUAGGUAACCUGCCUGGUAGCGGGGGAUAACUAUUGGAAACGAUAGCUAAUACCGCAUAAUAGUAGAUGUUGCAUGAUAUUUACUUAAAAGGUGCAAUUGCACCACUACCAGAUGGACCUGCGUUGUAUUAGCUAGUUGGUGGGGUAACGGCUCACCAAGGCGACGAUACAUAGCCGACCUGAGAGGGGGAUCGGCCACACUGGGACUGAGACACGGCCCAGACUCCUACGGGAGGCAGCAGUAGGGAAUCUUCGGCAAUGGACGAAAGUCUGACCGAGCAACGCCGCGUGAGUGAAGAAGGUUUUCGGAUCGUAAAGCUCUGUUGUAAGAGAAGAACGAGUGUGAGAGCGGAAAGUUCACACUGUGACGGUAUCUUACCAGAAAGGGACGGCUAACUACGUG
rnacentral:rRNA from 1 species